AUACUGAGGGUGCAAGCGUUGUCCGGAUUUAUUGGGUUUAAAGGGUGUGUAGGCGGUGUAUUAAGUCAGUGGUGAAAGCCUGCGGCUCAACCGUAGAACUGCCAUUGAUACUGACACACUUGAGUAUGGACGAGGUAGGCGGAAUUUAUGGUGUAGCGGUGAAAUGCAUAGAUACCAUAAAGAACACCGAUAGCGAAGGCAGCUUACUAGGCCAUAACUGACGCUGAGGCACGAAAGCGUGGGGAGCGAACAGGAUUAGAAACCCUAGUAGUCC
rnacentral:rRNA from 1 species